rnacentral:rRNA from 1 species
AGAGUUUGAUCCUGGCUCAGGACGAACGCUGGCGGCGCGCCUAACACAUGCAAGUCGAACGAGCGAGAGAGCUUGCUUUCUCAAGCGAGUGGCGAACGGGUGAGUAACGCGUGAGGAACCUGCCUCAAAGAGGGGGACAACAGUUGGAAACGACUGCUAAUACCGCAUAAGCCCACGGCUCGGCAUCGAGCAGAGGGAAAAGGAGUGAUCCGCUUUGAGAUGGCCUCGCGUCCGAUUAGCUAGUUGGUGAGGUAACGGCCCACCAAGGCGACGAUCGGUAGCCGGACUGAGAGGUUGAACGGCCACAUUGGGACUGAGACACGGCCCAGACUCCUACGGGAGGCAGCAGUGGGGAAUAUUGCACAAUGGGGGAAACCCUGAUGCAGCGACGCCGCGUGGAGGAAGAAGGUCUUCGGAUUGUAAACUCCUGUUGUUGAGGAAGAUAAUGACGGUACUCAACAAGGAAGUGACGGCUAACUACGUGCCAGCAGCCGCGGUAAAACGUAGGUCACAAGCGUUGUCCGGAAUUACUGGGUGUAAAGGGAGCGCAGGCGGGAAAGCAAGUUGGAAGUGAAAUCCAUGGGCUCAACCCAUGAACUGCUUUCAAAACUGUUUUUCUUGAGUAGUGCAGAGGUAGGCGGAAUUCCCCGGUGUAGCGGUGGAAUGCGUAGAUAUCGGGAGGAACACCAGAGGCGAAGGCGGCCUACUGGGCACCAACUGACGCUGAGGCUCGAAAGUGUGGGUAGCAAACAGGAUUAGAUACCCUGGUAGUCCACACUGUAAACGAUGAUUACUAGGUGUUGGAGGAUUGACCCCUUCAGUGCCGCAGUUAACACAAUAAGUAAUCCACCUGGGGAGUACGACCGCAAGGUUGAAACUCAAAGGAAUUGACGGGGGCCCGCACAAGCAGUGGAGUAUGUGGUUUAAUUCGACGCAACGCGAAGAACCUUACCAAGUCUUGACAUCCUGCGACGGUGCUGGAAACAGUACUUUCCUUCGGGACGCAGAGACAGGUGGUGCAUGGUUGUCGUCAGCUCGUGUCGUGAGAUGUUGGGUUAAGUCCCGCAACGAGCGCAACCCUUAUGGUCAGUUACUACGCAAGAGGACUCUGGCCAGACUGCCGUUGACAAAACGGAGGAAGGUGGGGAUGACGUCAAAUCAUCAUGCCCUUUAUGACUUGGGCUACACACGUACUACAAUGGCGUUAAACAAAGAGAAGCGAGACCGCGAGGUGGAGCAAAACUCAGAAACAACGUCCCAGUUCGGACUGCAGGCUGCAACUCGCCUGCACGAAGUCGGAAUUGCUAGUAAUCGCAGAUCAGCAUGCUGCGGUGAAUACGUUCCCGGGCCCUUGUACACACCGCCCGUC